rnacentral:tRNA from 1 species
UAGUCGCUAGCUCAACUGGCAGAGCGCGGAACUCCAAAUUCCGAGGUUCUAGGUUCAAGUCCUAGGCGGCUAGCCA